CCCCUGCAGGCUCUGUGAUGAGGAGCGUUACUGACACCCCCACACCCCAUCCCCUGCAGGGAAUCUCGUCCGCUCUGUCUGAAGAGCGCUCAGAGCCUCGGGAAGAUGGGAAUCUUUGCAGGAGGAAUGUGCCCUUGUGUCUUAGGUAGGGCUCUAGGGCUGGAAGCCAAUGUGGGGUCAGGCAAGGGGUUCUCUGUCCUGGUAAGGAGCUGCAGCUGAGAGCAGGGGUGUGUGCUGGGAGGGGUUCCAGUGUUAAUCCCAAACCCUUAACCAUGGUUUUGUCUCAUCUCUGCAGGGAGACUUUGUUGUAAGUAAUGACACCCUUAACCGUGGGCACUGGAGGGUUCUGUGGUCACUGGAGGGUUCUGUGGGCACUGACAGCUCCCUCCCCUCUCACUGGCACCAUGCAGCUGUGGCCACACCAUGGGUGAGGGGCAGGAGCUCCUUCAGGUGUGUUCUGGGCUGGGAACUGCGAGGAGACCUUUGCCUCUAAGCAAGACUCCAUCGUGCUCCUUCCCCUGCCUUCAGCCACUGGUGCAGGUGACACAGUUCCAGGCAAGAAGCAUUUGCUCCCUCACAGCAGGAGCUGUUCCUCGCCUGAAGAUGCUCUCUGCAGCUGCAGGACUGAGGAGUUCCCCUCCUGUGCCCGUGACUCUCCUGCUCUCAUUAGCUGAAUCAGCACUGUUGCCAAACCUGCCUUGUUUCUCCCCUACUAUUCACUUCCCAUCCUGGAGAAGGAGCGGCAGAGACUGGAAAGCCUCAGGAAGAAGCAGGAAGCUGAGGAACAGAGGAAGAAGAAAAUGGAGGAGGAGAAGAGGCAGCGGCAGGCGGAAAUGAAGCAGAAGAGGGAAGAGCGCCUGAGGAAGGCACUGCAGGCUCGGGAGCGGGCAGAGGAGGAGAAGAAGAAGCGGAUGGAGCAGAAGAUCCUGCAGAGCGAUGAGAAGGUGCAGCUCUCCCAGGUGCGGGACAGGGAGGAGAAGGCAGAGGAGCGAGGCAGGAAGAAGCUGUCCAAGAAGUCUGGGGAAGCUGAGGCCCGGAGGCAGAAAGCACUGAAGGGGGAGGAAGAUGAACGGGAGCAGCCAGAGCUGCUGCAGAAGAGGAGAGAGGAUGAAGUGAAGGGGAAAGGAAAGAAAGUCUUGGAACUGAAGAAUCUUCUGGAGCAGCAGCAUGGGGAGCACGGGAAGGAGAGGGAUCACAGGCACGGAGGGAAGGAGAAGCUUCCCCAUCCGCAGCUGGGGGCAGCCGCGCUCCCGAAGCACAGAAAGGUGGGAGAUGGAGGGGUCCUGGGACAGCUCCUCUGUUGGGAGGCAUGGGAGGCACUGGUGUGUUCUCAGUGCUGUGUCCCUGUCCAAGGCUCCCGUGCUCUCGGUUGCCUUAUUUGGAGAGGCAAACACAAUAAAACUGGUGACAAGCCCAACAUGUUACUGCAGGGAGCUGGGGCUGGGGCAAGAGCAGUUCUGGUGGUGAAGCUGGGGUUGCCUUGCUACCAGGUGAGCUCCCCAGCCCCAUCACGAGCUGGUGACAGCCAUAACACGGCCCUUUGAAGGACACCCCCAGUGCCAUUCACUGACACUUCAAGGGAUAUGGAAAUCAGUAAGGGGGGGGUUUCUACUCCAUUCCCUCCCUGGUUUUGGAGGAUGCGAUCCCAUAACUCAGGUACCAGGUGGCUUCGUGUGGCUUCCUUUAUCCUUCCACAGAGAAUGCUGUGGCUUAAAGUCAAGGCUGUUUCUCUCAAAACAUCACAGCAACGUUUUCUUUCCACUCUCUCCUCUUGACUUCACUCUGCUCUUCUGCCUUCAUUAGCAAAGAAUCAAAGCCCCACAUGCUGCUGCCCUUAAGGAUGAGUUCCUUCAUCCGUGCUUGCUCUUACUGGGUCUGUGACAUUCAAACUCCUGGUGAUGCUAUAUAAUAUUAAUGAAGGUCUAAGCAAAGCUCCUGCGGAUAAGAGGGAAGCUGACUCUAAUUGCAGGUGCCUGCAGCUCGUGCCCUCGCAUUGCCCUUCCCUGCUGAGCAGUGUGGGAGAAGGAACUUCUGGGAAGUGAUUUGGGUUUGGGUUGAAAAGGAGCUCAAGCAGUGAAAACUUAUCCUCUUUAGGAGGAGGAAAAGAGCCCAAAGGAGCUGUGGGGCAGGAGAAGAGAGCCAGGCAACCAGAACCCACUGCUGUGGCUUCAAAGCCUGCUUGAAAGCAGUAGAGGGGAGUGUGGGCUCUAGAGAUCUUCCUGUUCUGGCUCUGAGCAAAGAUGUGGAGUUAGCUUAUCUCUGAUGCUGGGUUUGGUUUGGUUGUUCUGUGGGUUUGGGGUUUUUCCUGCAGCAAACACACAGGAGCUGAGGGUUCUCUUGCAGGGCCCCAGAAACGAUGGCUCAGCUCCAGAGCCAGCCUGGCUGCUUUGCAUGGGUGAACAUGAAUGAGGAAUGACUUCAUUCUGGUCUCUUAGCAGGAGGAAGCUGCUCUGCAGCGCCCGGGAGAGAGGAAGCUCAGGCAGCCGGAGGCAC
rnacentral:lncRNA from 14 species